rnacentral:lncRNA from 1 species
UCUGUUUGUUUAGUACUGAAAAUGCCCACAGAUCUUAGAGUUGCAGAGUCAAUAGAACCAAAGUGAAUAUCUAACUCAUUCACUGUUGGCUGGCUUUGCAGGGACUUAAUCUCAUUUUCUGUAAAUGACCCAAAGACUAAUACCUGAUACUGAUACAAUCAACAAAAAUUGGUAAACCACAGAGAUAUAGCAUGCAACAAGAAUAUUAUAUAAUGCAGUCGAAACAUCAAUUUAUUCUUAAUAACAUAAGAAACACACAAAAAAGUAAACUCUUCUUACCAUCCAAAACAUGAGGAAAGGAAAACAGGAAAAGAGAACCAAUUCUUAAUACUGGUCACUAGUUUCAAAAUCAGAGACAAAAUGUACCAUUUCUUAUGUAACAGUCGAAGUCUCCAGAAAAACACGGGCAAUGUCAUAGUAUAGGCAAUGGUUAGGUGAAUGACAUAAAUAUUAAGGACUUAAAAUACUGAGUAGUAAUAAUAAAAAUAUAAAUAGCUCCAAUAGACAAAAUCAAGCAUUAAAGCUAAGCCAUUAUAAUUCUGUGAAUUCUGAAUUCCUAUUAGAGAGGCCUCGGCCCUCAGGUUGACAACAUGUGUGAGCUAUAAGCAAGCUGCAUAUAUGUAAAACUAAACAAAUAUGUGUUUUACAGGCUUCAAAUCCAUGUAUUACCGUUUGACAAACACUAACUUGAAAUAAAAAGUAGACGGUCAUUCUUAUAUUGUAUUACCCUGACAGGCUGAAUGUGACGCCCCCAAAUCCGGGUACUUCAAUUACCAUAUGAUUUGGUGAUCACUAUACAAACAUCAUGUCUAUCUACCCAUAAAAAUGAAAACAUAAAUAGAUAGAAAUAAAUCCUCUCCUUAAGGAGUUAUAUCAUCUGAAAUUAAUACAUCAAUCCCAGGUCAUACUAACCUUAAAUCUCAACUGCGGAAACAUAAACAAUUAAUAGUCUUACACCACAUUAACAUAAGUCUAAAACAUAAAUACAUAAUCACAUAUAAACAACAAGUCUUCAUCACUUGUUAAUCUUGCCCUUGCCUUUGCUAGUAGAAGGCUCGUCGGACCUUUCGUUCUUAACUGCAAUAUUAUUAUUACGCAAGAGUGAGCACGAUUGCCCACAAGUAUAAUAAUAAAACAACAAUAUAAUAACAUGCGAGUGAAUCAAAGACAUCUGGAAUAAGAACUCAACUUUUGAAUCAAAAAUGAAUAACAAGAAUCAAAAGAACUUCUGAGGGUCAUAAGACCUUGAACUAUGUCCUAGGUUAUCAAGGGUUAUACUUCAAACCUUCAGUCAUAAGACUAUGGACUCUUCUACUCGUACUUAGGGGGGUCAACCCUUAGUACCAUAUUGUGCACAAUAUCUUAACGCUAACGCAUAAGUAAUCCCUAUACAGGGUUGUUCAUCUCAGUUUGACAUUAGAGUCCGCACCAAAGGAAGUUUGGUUUGGAUAAUUCAAUAAGGGUUCUGAAAUUUAGAACGUUCAUCAACUAUAGACUAGUCGAAUCAAUAAGGGUUCGCUAGUCUUACAAGGUUAAACAAUAAUUGAUAUUUAAAUUGAAUAAUAAAUCAAGAGGUAUACAAUGGAAUAAGAAUUGUAUAACAGAAAUCAUACUUUGAAAAGAUUAAUAAUCUUUAAUAUAACAAAUUGAACUUGAUUAAUAAUAAAUAGAAUUUGCUCGAUGUAAGUUUAUAAACUUGAAUAACAAUAACAAAUAGGGUUAGGAAACUUGCCUCGUGCGUAGAUUACACGUUAAUUAUACACGUUCCUUGAUUUAAUCCUACAUACCAUUUAUAUUCACAAUAUCAGUCAAUUAUAACGUAACUAGUCAUCGCAAGUUUAUUCUUUGGUCUAAACUCUGGUUAUGACUAUACUUAGUCAAAUUAUCACGCUUAUUUUUACAUAAUAUCACACUACACGAAUAAUAAGUUAAUUAUGCGUUCAACAAUUCAAUCAACAUGUAAAUGCCUUAUUGACAUGAUAAGAACCUAUUUUAACAUCUCAUUAUAUGUUUAACAUAUUUUUAUGUACAAUAGAUUAGGUUAAUAUUACAAUCCAGGACAUGAAUAAUCAAAAAAUUUCAUUUCUGAGCAAUCUGCAUAGUGGCGCUGCGGCGCCAACAUCAGGCUUGUUCUUGGCACUGCGGCGCGGCCCGUGCUGCGGCCUGGACAUUGGCGCUGCGGCGCGGGGUUUAUGCCUGCAGCCAGCGCUGCGGCGCGGCGAACCAGUACCAGGACUGCAAUUCGCGAAAAAUUGCGGAACAUGGUCAAAACCUCCAAUUAAUUUAUUCUUACAUGAAUUUAGACAUACCCAAACACUGUAAUACACAUAUAACUACUACCCAACCCUUCUAGCAUGAUUUUAUGCAGGUUAAAACAUACAAUUUCCAUAAUCAAAGCAUGUAAUUUCAUGUUCUUGGUGAUUUUGAAAGUUUUUAAAGAACAAACAUAAAAUUGACACUACAGGUUCGUUAUAACGCUAAAUCUGUCCAUUCGAAGUUUGUUUUCUUCGUUUUAACAUGCAUAAUUAUAUACAAGUGUAAAAUUUAUGAUACAACAUAUGAUUAACGUAUUAAAGUUGCACGUAAGGGCCAUAUUUCUAUACUUUGUAAUUUUGAAGAACAAUAUACGACAUAUUUUUAUGAAACUGAUGUUAUGGAAACAUACAAUAUAUAAUAAAACAUGUUAUGAUAACAUCUUAUCACAUAUAUAAACACAUAAUCAUUACUCUUUUUCAAUUACAGAGACUUGAAAGCCAUUUUUAUAAAAAUAUAAUCAACGUGAAUUUAAAUUUGGGUUGAAGAGAUUACCCAGAGUGUAGAGUGUAGAUUAGUAGAGAAACCUUUCUCAGAUGAUUCUUCAAUCAUCCAACUCACAAUUUCCCUCAACAAAUUCUCAAUUUCUCUCUGAUUUUCUUUGCCAAACUUAGAAAAAAUGAAAGAAGACGUAUAUAAUUUAUAAAACUGACGCAGUUGUGGUCAGUUAACCUUGGGUUAACUGCUCCCAACUUCCCAAAGGGCUCCGUUUGGCUAUUUUUUUAAAAACUUAAUCCCAUUUAAUUUGAUAAACUUCUUAUACUAGAGUAUAAUAAUAUCACACCCAUUUACACAAUAAAUCAAAUAUCUUAUUUAAUUUAAUUUAAAUAAAAUAUAAUAAUAUCUUAUUAAUUCACAGUCAUAAAAUUAAAUUUCUCAUUUAUUAAUUAUGUCAAAUUAUUAAAUCUCUAAUUAAUUAUUUAAUUAAUUAAAAUAACAUUAUGCUUAUUAAAUAUUUCCUUUAAUUCAAUAAGCUCACAUAAAUACGUAAUUUGAAUAAUAGAAAUUCUCCACAUUAAUUUAAUAAAUAUAACACAUAAUUAAAUUAAUCUACCACAAUUUCAUCAAUUAAUUAUUUAGUCCGAUAAUUAAAUCGUCGAAAAAUAUUUAUGUAAUUCAAUAAAUAUUAAAAUUAAAUUACAAAAUCUCGUUUGUUACAUCUUUCCCCCCUUUAAAAGGAUUAUGUCCUCAGAAUCACGACUCAACCAAUUCGUCCCGUUACAUUCUCCCCCCUUACAAAGAUUUUGUCCCCAGAAUCGCUUACACAUAAAUUAAUGACUAAAAGACAAUUUACACCCCAAACUUUACACCGUUGUUGACUUUUGCACCCAAACCGAAAAAGGUGUCUAAGUACACCCCAAACUUCAUUAUACGUAACAAAACGCACACUUUCUUAACUUAACCGGUCAAAAGUGACCGGCUAAGGCUGUAACACAAGUUUGGGGUGCAAAUUGUCUUUUAGUCUUAAAAAUUGGCAAAAAUAAUUAAUUUUAAAUAAAAUAAAAUAAUUUUAAAAUAAAAUAAUUAAAAUAAUAAAAUUAAAAUAAAUAUUUGGAAUUAAUAAUUAAUUUUUUUUAAAACAAUUUUUUUAAAAAACAGAAUUGUAAAACAGAAUUUUUUUGUAAAAAAAAAUCUGUUUUUACAAAAAAAAAAUUAAAAACAAUUUUGUUUUUACAAAAAUUGUAAAAUAAAUUUGAGUUUUACAAAAUUGUAAAAUAUAAUUUUUUUUAUAAAAAAAUUCUGUUUUUACAAAAAUUGUAAAAUAAAAUUGUGUAGAUUCUUUAUCACGGGAUAGUUGAUGUAAAUAGCAGUGAUGCUAUCGUAUAAUGUUAAAACUUUCGAUUUGAAUAAAUAUAUCAAGUUGUUUGAGAAAAUGUGUCAAGUGAUUUUGUUAAAUUGUUUGAGUUAAGCCUUAAAUAUUUAGAGAAGUGGAUAAAGACCUAAUAAGCAUAUAUUUUAACAGAAAUAUGCCGUCGAGAAGAAGACAAAACCGUCAACCAACUCAAGAAGAAUCGACGAACAACAACGCCAAUGCUAACCCCGUUCAACAAUUGGUGAACUUAUUAGCUGGAGUGAUUAAUAAUCAACCUCAAGCUCCAGCGAAUACGAAGUUCAAGGAUUUCAAGGCGGUGGGACCACCAGAGUUUAAAGGCUCCAUGAACCCGAUAGAAGCUUAGACUUGGGUUAUAGAGAUGGAGAAAGUUUUUGAUGUCGCAAGAGUCAGAGAAGACCAGAAAACCACCUACGCGACGUUCAUGCUGAAAUUCGAAGCCAGUUAUUGGUGGCAAGCAAAUAAAGUCCGGGGAGAAGGUAUGGUAUGAUCACUUGGGAGAGGUUCAAGGAGAUGUUUUUCGAGAUGUAUUUUCCGACCAGCUCGCAGAACCAAAUGGUGGUCUAGUUUCUGGAGUUGAAACAAGGGAAUAUGUCCGUACCAGACUGUGCGGCAAUAUUCAAUGAGUUGGCUAGGUUCGCCACAUAUCAAGUGCACACAGAUGAGAGAAAAGCAAGAAGGUUUGAACAAGGACUGAAGCCCUGGUUGUAUAGUAAAGUGUCGAUGUUUCAGUUGAAGACGUUCGUUGGGGUACUGGAGAAAGCCAUACUCGCUAAAGGUGGAAGCGAUGCGGUAACCAAAUAUAAUCAGGAUCAGAAGAAGAAGAGUGAAAAUGAAGGAAUUAACAAGGCUAGUGGAAGUAACACGGGAGGUGGUAAUAAUCAGAAGAGAAGAUGGUCUGACAACUCGUCAACUGGAAAUUAGCAAGGAGGUCAGAAGAAGAGGAUCGAAGCGUGCCCGACCUGCGGGAAAGCUCAUUUGGGAGUGUUUAUGAAGGGUAAACGAGUGUGUUACAAUUGUGGUCAGGAAGGCCACAUAGCACCUAACUGUCCUAACCCAAAGAAGGGUGCCUGCUUCACUUGUGGCUCAAAUGAUCAUCUUGCAAGGGACUGUCCUAAGAAGGGAUCUGGAGGGACAGGAUCAGGAGGAAAUAGGGGAAACAGCGGUGGAAGCGCUCUGACCAUCACAGGACCAACCGCAACCAACCGACCGACCGCCAGGACAUUCAACAUGACAGUGCAGGAUGCAGUGCAGUCUCGUGAUGUGGUGUCAGGUAUCAUUCCGAUCAAUAAAGUUAAUGCUUAUGUAUUAUUUGAUUCGGGUGCUACUUGUUCAUUUAUAUUCGAUGACUUUGCUAAGAACUUAGAAUUGCCGAAGGAUGAGUUAGAACACCUCAUGAACAUAGAAAUUGCGAAUAGAGAAAUAAUCCUUGUUAAGUACGUACAUAAGAACUGUAGAGUGGAUAUUAAGGGUAAUAUCAUGAACGUAGAUCUUAUCCCUAUUCGACUUGGGGAAUUUGACGUUAUCUUGGGAAUGGACUGGUUAUUCAAUUACGGGGUUGUAAUCGAUUGCUAGAAGAUGCGUAUUAACCUUAUGACUCCGUCAAAGGUUGUGUUUUAUGGUAACAAGUCGCCUAGACAAGCGAGUUUUCUGACGAUGAUGCAGGCCAGGAAGUUGUUAAGACAAGGCUGUGUUGGAUAUCUAGCUUACAUAGUCGACAGUCGUAAAGAGAAUCCGAAAGUAGAGGAGAUACCAGUAGUGAGGGACUUCGUCGACGUAUUCCCGGACGAUUUGCCAGGACUUCCGCCAGAUAGAGAGGUUGAAUUUGUGAUCGAUUUGGCACCAGGAACGGCUCCAAUAUCGAAGGCACCGUACCGAAUGGCACCAGUAGAGAUGAAAGAAUUGAUGGUACAACUACAAGAAUUACUGGACAAGAAGUCCAUUCAACCGAGCGUAUCGCCGUGGAGAGCGCUGGUGUUAUUUGUGAGGACAGAACAAUGCGGCUCUGCAUCGACUAUAGAGAACUGAAUAAGGUCACGAUUAAGAAUAGAUAUCCAUUACCGAGGAUCGAUGACCUGUUUGAUCAAUUGAAGGGAGUGAGAUACUUUUCAAAGAUAGAUUUGAGAAGUGGUUAUCAUCAACUGAAGGUGAGACUAGAGGACGUACCGAAGACAGCGUUCAGAACACGAUAUGGUCACUACGAAUUUUUGGUGAUGUCAUUUGGUCUAACGAAUGCUCCUGCAGCAUUCAUGGGCUUAAUGAAUGGAGUGUUCAAGCCGUUUUUGGACAAAUUCGUAGUGGUGUUUAUAGAUGAUAUUUUGGUAUAUUCGAAAACCAAGGAAGAACAUGAAGAGCAUUUGAAGGUAAUGUUAGAGGCGUUGAGAAGGGAGAAUUUGUAUGCCAAGUUUUUGAAAUGCGAAUUUUGGAUUGAGCGGGUACAAUUUCGUGGACAUGUGAUUGAUAAAGACAGAAUUUCGGUGGAUCCAUCCAAAGUCGAAGCCGUGAUAAACUGGGAUCAGCCGAGAACGCCGUCGGAAGUACGAAGUUUUCUUGGAUUGGCAGGAUAUUACAGAAGAUUCAUUCAAGACUUUUCCAAGAUCGCAACUCCGUUAACGAAUUUGACUCGAAAAGCUGUGAAAUUUGGUUGGACGGAGAAGUGUGAGGAAAGCUUUUAGGAACUUAAGAAGAGGUUGAGUACAGCACGUGUUAUCUCUUCCGGAUGAUACAGGAAAUUUUGUGGUUUAUAGUGAUGCGUCGCAUAAAAGGACUUGGCUGUGUGCUUAUGCAAAACGGCAGAGUCAUUGCGUAUGCGUCACGACAAUUGAAGGAUUAUGAGAAGGGGUAUCCGACCCACGACUUGGAGUUAGCUGCAGUGGUUUUUGCCUUAAAAAUCUGGAGGCACUAUCUCUAUGGAGAGAAGUGUGAAAUAUAUACAGACCACAAAAGUCUGAAAUAUAUUUUUACACAGGACUCGAAUAUGCGCCAAAGAAGGUGGUUGGAGUUAAUUAAGGACUAUGAUUGUGAAAUUUUAUACCAUCCGGGUAAGGCAAAUGUGGUUGCCGACACCUGAAGUAGAAAUGGUCAGGAGAAAUUGAUGAUGUUGACCGCUCAGAAGAAGCUAAUUUCAGCCAUGGAGAAGUUAGAACUGGAAGUGAAGUAUCCUAUAGAAAUUGAUGAGAAGUUGUUCCAGAUGCAAUCUGGUACAACCCUACUGGAUAAAGUUAAGGAGGCUCAACUUCAAGAUGAAGAAUGUAAAAAGGUGAAAAAGAAGAUAUCCGAAGGAACCGAACCGAGAUUCAAGAUGGACAAGGAAGGAAUACUAAGAUUUGAGAGCAGAAUUUGGGUACGGCCAGUACAAGAGAUUAAGGAAGACAUUUUGAGCGAGGCUCAUAGCUCACGAUAUUCGAUUCACCCUGGUAAUACUAAGAUGUACCAAGAUCUUCGACAACAUUUCUGGUGGCCAAAUUUGAAACGAGAUGCUGCAAAGUGCGUUGCCAAGUGUCUGACAUGUCAGAAAGUGAAAGCAGAACAUCAGAGGCCGAGUGGAUUGCUACAACCGUUGGAGAUCCCAGAAUGAAAAUGGGAACAUAUUACGAUGGAUUUCGUGGUUGGCCUUCCGACAACUCAGAAAGGCUAUGACGCAGUAUGGGUUAUCGUUGACCGACUGACAAAAUACGCACACUUCCUUCCGCUCAAUCAAAUUUAAUUUAGACCAAUUGGCGAAAUUAUACGUAAAAGAGAUUGUUUCGAGACACGGAGUUUCGGUGUCAAUUGUUUUCGAUAGGGAUCCGUGCUUUACAUCGAACUUCUGGAAACGAUUACAGGAAUGCAUGGGUACGCAUUUGAGUAUGAGUACGGCUUAUCACCCUCAGACAUAUGGGCAGAGUGAAAGAACGAAUAUUAGAAGAUAUGUUAAGAGCUUAUAAUGAACUUUAAAAGAAAUUGGGAUGAUCAUCUACCGCUCGUAGAGUUCGGCUACAAUAACAGUUACCACGCUAGUAUUGGCAUGCCGCCUUAUAAAGCGUUAUACGGCAGAAAGUGCAGAACUCCGCUAUACUGGGAUGAAGUUGGCGAGAGACAAUUACUAGGCCCAUAAUUGGUACAGCAGACAGUAGAGAUAGUUAAAGUGAUCCGAACAAGACUGGUAGCAGCUCAAGAUAGGCAGAAGAUAUACGCCGACCCACACCGUAAAAAUAUUGAGUUUAAAUCAGGUAGUUAUGUGUUUUUGAAAGUCUCUCCCUGAAAGGGAAAGAUCAGGUUCGGAAAGAAACGGAAAUUAAGCCCAAGAUUCAUUGGACCCUUCGAAGUACUGCGAAGAAUCGGGGAAGUUGCGUAUGAGGUAGCCUUACCUCCAGCACUCGAGAAUGUCCACAACGUUUUCCAUUUUUCGGUUUUACGACCCUACAAACCCGAUUACAAGCACGUGAUUGAAUAUGAACCCCUUCAUUUUGAGAAAAACUUAUCAUAUGAAGAAAUUCCUGUUCAGAUUGUCGACAGGAAAGAACAAGUUCUCAGAAAUAAAGUAAUACCUUCCGUUAAGGUAAUUUGGAAGAACCACAACGCUGAAGAAGCAACGUGGGAACUCGAAGAGCAUAUGAUGAAUAAUUACCCUCAUUUAUUUAAUUAAUUUAUGUGUAAGCAAUUCUCAGGACAAAAUCUUUGUGAGGGGAGAGAAUGUAACGGGACGAAUUGAUUGAGUCGUGAUUUUGAGGACAAAAUCCUUUUAAGGGGGGAAAGAUGUGACAAACGAGAUUUUGUAAUUUAAUUUUAAUAUUUAUUGAAUUAAAUAAAUAUUUUUUGACGAUUUAAUUAUCGGACUAAAUAAUUAAUUGAUAAAAUUGUGGUAGAUUAAUUUAAUUAUGUGUUAUAUUUAUUAAAUUAAUGCGGAGAAUUUCUAUUAUUCAAAUUACGUAUUUAUGUGAGCUUAUUGAAUUAAAGGAAAUAUUUAAUAAGCAUAAUGUUAUUUUAAUUAAUUUAAUAAUUAAUUAGAGAUUUAAUAAUUUGACAUAAUUAAUAAAUGAGAAAUUUAAUUUUAUGACUGAAUUAAUAAGAAAUUAUUAUAUUUUAUUUAUAUUAAAUUAAAUAAGAUAUUUGAUUUAUUGUGUAAAUGGGUGUGACAUUAUUAAACUAUAGUAUAAGAAGUUUAUCAAAUUAAAUGGGAUUGAGUUUUUAAAAAAAUAGCCAAACGGAGCCCUUUGGGAAGUUGAGAGCAGUUAACCUAUGAUUGGGUUAACUGACCACAACUGCGUCAGUUUUAUAAAUUAUAUACGUCUCUUCUUUCAUUUUUUCUAAGUCUGGCAAAGAAAAUCAGAGAGAAAUUGAGAAUUUGAUGAGGGAAAUUGUGAGUUGGGUGAUUGAAGAAGCAUCUGAGAAAGGUUUCGCUACUAAUCUAUAAUCUACACUCUGGGUAAUCUUUUCAACCCAAAUUUAAAUUCACGUUGAUUAUAUUUUUAUAAAAAUGACUUUCAAGUAUCUGUAAUUGAAAAAGAGUAAUGAUUAUGUGUUUAUAUAUGUGAUAAGAUGUUAUCAUAACAUGUUUUAUAAUAUAUUGUAUGUUUCCACAACAUCAGUUUCAUAAAAAUGUCGUAUAUAGUUCUUUCAAAAUGAGUAUAAAUAUAUGGUCAUAUGGCCCUUACGUGCAACUUUAAUUCGUUAAUCAUAUGUUGUAUCAUAAAUUUUACACUUGUAUAUAAUUAUGCAUGUUAAAACGAAGAAAACAAACUUCGAAUGGACAGAUUUAGCGUUAUAACGAACCUGUAGUGUCAAUUUUAUGUUUGUUCUUUAAAAACUUUCAAAAUCACCAAGAACAUGAAAUUACAUGCUUUGAUUAUGGAAAUUGUAUGUUUUAACCUGCAUAAAAUCAUGCUAGAAGGGUUGGGUAGUAGUUAUAUGUGUAUUACAGUGUUUGGGUAUGUCUAAAUUCAUGCAAGAAUAAAUUAAUUGGAGGUUUUGGCCAUGUUCUGCAAUUUUUCGCGAAUUGCAGUCCUAGUACUGGUUCGCCGCGCCGCAGCGCCGACUGCAGGCAUAAACCCCGCGCCGCAGCGCAAAUGUCCAGGCCGCAGCGCGGGCCACGCCGCAGUGCCAAGAACAAGCCUGAUGGUGGAGCCGCAGUGCCACUCUGCAGAUUGCUCAGAAAUGAAAAUUUUUGAUUAUUCAUGUCCUGGAUUGUAAUAUUAACCUAAUCUAUUGAACAUAAAAAUAUGUUAGACAUAAUGAGAUGUUAAAAUAGAUUUUUAUCAUGAAAAUAAGGCAUUUACAUGUUGAUUGAAUUGUUUAAUGCAUAAUUAACUUAUUAUUCGUGUAGUGUGAUAUUAUGUGAAAAUAAGCGUGAUAAUUUGACUAAGUAUAGUCAUAACCAGAGUUUAGACCAAAGAAUAAAUUUGCGAUAACUAUACUUAGUCAAAUUAUCACGCUUAUUUUCACAUAAUAUCACACUACACGAAUAAUAAGUUAAUUAUGCGUUCAACAAUUCAAUCAACAUGUAAAUGCCUUAUUGACAUGUUAAGAACCUAUUUUAACAUCUCAUUCUAUGUGUAACAUAUUUUUAUGUUCAAUAAAUUAGGUUAAUAUCACAAUCCAGGACAUGAAUAAUCAAAAAAAUUCAUUUCUAAGCAAUCUGCAGAGUGGCGCUGCGGCGCCACCAUCAGUGCUUGUUCUUGGCGUUGCGGCCAGUGUUCUAAAAAUCCCCGCCAAGGCGCUAGGCCCCCCGUUGGCACCCUGCCUAGGCGCUAGGCCCCCCUUGGCGCCCCGCCUAGGCCGAAGGCGGCAAAAAAAUUCCUCCAGAAAAUUAAGCGGGGAUUAAGCAGAGAGUUUUUUUUAUUUUAAUAAUUACCCAAACCAGAUCUUGAUAUAUUUAUUUUUCUAAUGAUUUACCAUAUAAUACAGGUUGUAAUAUAUCAAAUCACAACAAGAAGUGAACAAUAUCAAGUCAAAAUGAAUAAUUUUAUAAUAGUUGUAAUUUUUUGAACUUGUACCAACUUCAAAUUAUAUAAAUGAUGAUACAUUUAUAAUAUUUAGUUUAAUUGAAUAUAAUUCUUAAAUUUAUGUUUAGUUUCUUAAGUUUUAAUAUUCAAUUAAAAUCUUGAAAUAUUAAAUUUUAUUAUUUAAUAGCAAUCUUAUUUAUGAAUAAAACUAAUACGUUAAAAAUAUGUUUGAACUUUGAACAAUUGCAUGUUUGUGUUUGACCUUUGACAUUAGCAAUAUGAAUAUGUGUUUGAACUUUAAGCAAAUGUCUUUAUUAUCUUUAUUAUAGAUUGUUUUGCUUUAUAUUAUUGUUUUGUUUGGAUAAAUGUAAGAUAAAAUAUUAAAAUUGGCUUAAAAUAAAAAAUCUCGUCUAAGCCCCGCCUAGGCCCCCUAGGCGCUAGGCCCCCACGGUCGGCCGCCUCCCGCCUAGCGCCUUUUAGAACAUUGGCUACGGCGCUGCGGCGCGGGGUUUAUGCCUGCAGCUGUCGCUGCGGCGCGGCGAACCAGUACCAGGACUGCAAUUCGCGCAAAAUUGCAGAACAUGGUCAAAACCUCCAAUUAAUUUAUUCUUACAUGAAUUUAGACAUACCCAAACACUGUAAUAAACAUAUAACUACUAUCCAAUCCUUCUAGCAUGAUUUUAUGCAGGUUAAAACAUACAAUUUCCAGAAUCAAAUCAUGUAAUUUCAUGUUCUUGGUGAUUUUGAAUGUUUUUAAAGAACAAACAUAAAAUUGACACUACAGAUUCGUUAUAACGCUAAAUCUGUCCAUUCGAAGUUUGUUUUCUUCGUGUUAACAUGCAUAAUUAUAUACAAGUGUAAAAUUUAUGAUACAACAUAUGAUUAACGUAUUAAAGUUGCACGUAAGGGCCAUAUUUCUAUACUUUGUAAUUUUGAAGAACAAUAUACGACAUAUUUUUAUGAAACUGAUGUUAUGGAAACAUACAAUAUAUAAUAAAACAUGUUAUGAUAACAUCUUAUCACAUAUAUAAACACAUAAUCAUUACUCUUUUUCAAUUACAGAGACUUGAAAGCCAUUUUUAUAAAAAUAUAAUCAACGUGAAUUUAAAUUUGGGUUGAAGAGAUUACCCAGAGUGUAGAGUGUAGAGUGUAGAUUAGUAGAUAAACCUUUCUCAGAUGCUUCUUCAAUCACCCAACUCACAAUUUCCCUCAACAAAUUCUCAAUUUCUCUCUGAUUUUCUUUGCCAGACUUAGAAAAAAAUGAAAGAAGAAGACAUAUAUAAUUUAUAAAACUGACGCAAUUGUGGUCAGUUAACCCAAUCAUGGGUUAACUGCUCCCAACUUCCCAAAGGGCUCCGUUUGGCUAUUUUUUUUAAAACUCAAUCCCAUUUAAUUUAAUAAACUUCUUAUACUAUAGUUUAAUAAUGUCAUACCCAUUUACACAAUAAAUCAAAUAUCUUAUUUAAUUUAAUUUAAAUAAAAUAUAAUAAUUUCUCAUUAAUUCACAUAGUCAUAAAAUUAAAUUUCUCAUUUAUUAAUUAUGUCAAAUUAUUAAAUCUCUAAUUAAUUAUUAAAUUAAUUAAAAUAACAUUAUGCUUAUUAAAUAUUUUCUUUAAUUCAAUAAGCUCACAUAAAUACGUAAUUUGAAUAAUAGAAAUUCUCCACAUUAAUUUAAUAAAUAUAACACAUAUAAUUAAUCUAAUCUACCACAAUUUCAUCAAUUAAUUAUUUAGUCCGAUAAUUAAAUCGUCGAAAAAUAUUUAUUUAAUUCAAUAAAUAUUAAAAUUAAAUUACAAAAUCUCGUUUGUCACACUGAACACAAUUAUACCUGAAAUAGGGGUAACCUCACGCAUAAGAAAAUUAGUCUCACUAGAUUAUAAGACACUCUGACAAGACAAUUCUCUUAGAGAUAGGUUCGGAUGUCCAAUGUAACAUUAACUAGCUAAUAAUUGUGCACCCUUCCUGUUUAGGUGAAGGUUGUCCAACUUGUUUACCAUAAACCACUAGGCUACCUCACACAAUUAGCAGACCAAAUAUGUUAAGCCAAAGAUUUCUUAUAAAGACUAAUAAUACCAAGCUGACUGUGGUUUCCCAUGGAAGACCAGUUAGUUACAUUUAUUUCAGAAUGCCACGACAUGUGACUUGUGAGUGACCCCAAGUGAUACUGACCCUUCAACCAUGAAAAGGAGGCCACCCUUGACCAAACUCCAACAAUUAACAACUAAGUCAUCCACCAUGAUGAUAAUUUACCUCCACACUUAAUAAGACAAAUACUUGAAGUUACCAGUUUACUACAUGAUUGAAUCGAAGACACUAGUUCCACCAGCUCUCAAAGGCUCAAUUUUCUCAAACACUGUUUCUCUCUGUACUUCAAUAAAGCGGGAUGAGAAAAAAAAUCUUCACUCUAUCUGCAAUAACCCACUUAAAAAUAGAACUUUCAAUAGGUUGGAGCACAGUCUUAGCACUAGGCAGCCAUGGCUUAGCAAUUAUCCAACUGUUAAGCAUACAACUGACCUUGAGUACUGUUCUCCUAGUCUCCUAGCAAUAACUUGCUUCAUUUUCAGUUAAAAUGUAAGAUAUCAUAAUAUACUUUGAAAAGGUUUAGUACCAGUAAGAUUAUAACUCAAAUGAACUCAGAAACAUCUAAUUCCGCAAUGUUGCUUUAGCCAGUGGCAUUUUUCAUAAGUUUUUAUAAAAGUAGUAGCCAUUAACCAUAAAUGUUCAAAUCAAGCAGUGGGCUCUUAAAUUGUGUAGACUUUAGAUACCUUAUAUGGUUAGAAAGUAUAUCUAACCCCCAAAUGCACCUAAUUACUGCUUCUAUGAUUUUUACUUUUGACCAAAUGUGUGGAAAGAUGUGAGCUUAUAGUUUUCUACAUGAUCAAGUACUAAACACCAACUGCAUGUACGAUAAUAAUAUACAUGCAUUAACACUAUGACUGGGCACACACCACACACUAAUUAAACUUCAUACCCAAAAAAACUUGAUGCUACAAUUUGAAGUCAGUUACAUCAUGCAUAUUGCAUUCCAAGUUACCAUGGCCCAUACUUUAUUUCAAAACUUAAUGAAAUACAAUGAAAUUUGGUACCUUAUUUAGCAACUUGACCCAAUUUUGGAAUGCCUCCAAAAGAAAAAUGGGACUCCCAAUUAUGGACUUUAGAAUAUCAUGGAAACAAUAAAGAGAAUUGGUCCCACCUUAACAAUAAAACAAGAAGCCUACAUUGUAAUUUCAUUUCUUUUCAGCAACUCACUCCAAAGACAAAUAAAGCUCUAAACUUAAAUCUAAUCCCAAGAAGAUUAAAAAUAAUUCUGUAAAAUGGCUGAAAUCAUAAAAAAGAAACAAACCCUGUAGCCCAAAUAACGAAAAAGUUACAAUCUUUAACUCUAUGUUACAGGGACUCUUCACCCCGCACUUUGGACAAGGGUAUGGGUACUGGACACUUAAUUUAGGCUAUGUUUGUUUGCAAAAAACAUGAUUGGAAUUGAACUAUUUCUCUUAAUUUAACACUAGUUUAGACUAUUUUAUCCUAUGAUGGGGGAUUAAUAGUCCUUUAAAUAGUCCUAUGAACUAUUUUUUGUCAUUCUUAAGGCUAGUUAUGAUUGAUGAAUGUGGAAUUAAUAGUCCCCCACUUUAAAGCAAUCAAAUGGUUUUCUAGGACUAAUAGUCCCACAUCUAGGACUAAUAGUCCAUCAUGGAAAGAUUAAAUAGUCUGAAGUAGUCUUAAAUUAAGAUAAAUAGUCUAAUCCCAAGCUUGCUUUUUGCAAACAAACAUGGCCUUAGUGAAUAAUUUUAGAAGAAAAUUAAUUUCUUCCUAAAAUCACCUUACCGAAUAUUAAAAUUUACAAUUAUUCGGAUAUAUAUACGUAUAAAUACAAUACACUUUUAAAGUAUAAAAAUUGACAAAAUUAAGUAGCAUAUCGGACUCUUCAACAAACUAUGUCCAAGCAGACACUUCAUCCGAGCCCGUGCCCGUGUAACAUAGCUUUAACUUUAAUUAAUUUUGCAAUUUUGCAUGAAUGGAAAUGUAAUUAAAGUUCCAAAUAAGUUUCCCUUUUAAAUAAUUUUAGCAACAGAUUUCAAAUUUUCAGCAAUAAGAAAUGAAGUCCAGAAAAAGAAAAACCUUGUGAUCAGUCAUCUUUAGAAGAGAAUGGAAACGGCGAGCACGAGACCCUCAAAGAGAAGCUAGUGAAGUAGACAUAUGAGAUGAAACAGCGCCGUCUUGAGGAUGCACUGGCAAGAGGAAGAUAGUGUGGAAGGAAAAUGGAAGACAUGAAAAUCAAAAGAGAAAAAAGAUAGAAGGGGAGAUUUUCUUAGUGGCAGAGAGAUUGAGAGUGGUAAAUUAGGGCUUCGUUUAUCGGUCUGAAAUCUGAAAGAAAAAAGGGUAUCAGGGUUUUGGGGAAACAGAAACUAGACUCAGAAAACAGAGCACAGCAUCAAUUAG